rnacentral:rRNA from 1 species
CAAGUCGAACGCGAAAGUCCCCUUCGGGGGGCAAGUAGAGUGGCGCACGGGUGAGUAACACGUAGGUAAUCUACCUUUGGAUGGGGAAUAACAACCGGAAACGGUUGCUAAUACCGCAUAAUGCAGCGGCACCUAAUGGUGACAGUUGUUAAAGCGGGGGAUCGAAAGACCUCGCGUCUAAAGAGGAGCCUGCGGCGGAUUAGCUAGUUGGUAAGGUAACGGCUUACCAAGGCUACGAUCCGUAGCCGGCCUGAGAGGGCGGUCGGCCACACUGACACUGACAUACGGGUCAGACUCCUACGGGAGGCAGCAGUCGGGAAUUUUGGGCAAUGGGCGAAAGCCUGACCCAGCAACGCCGCGUGAAGGAUGAAAUCCCUCGGGAUGUAAACUUCGCAAGAAUGAGAAGAAUAAGUAGGGGACAAUACCCCCUAUGAUGACGGUAUCAUUUGUAAGCUCCGGCUAACUCCGUGCCAGCAGCCGCGGUAAUACGGGGGGAGCAAGCGUUGUUCGGAUUUACUGGGCGUAAAGGGCGCGUAGGCGGCCAGCACAAGUCAGUUGUGAAAUCUCCGAGCUUAACUCGGAAAGGUCAACUGAUACUGUGCGGCUAGAGUGCGGAAGGGGCAACUGGAAUUCUUGGUGUAGCGGUGAAAUGCGUAGAUAUCAAGAGGAACACCUGGCGGCGAAGGCGGGUUGCUGGGCCGACACUGACGCUGAUGCGCGAAAGCCAGGGGAGCGAACGGGAUUAGAUACCCCGGUAGUCCUGGCCUUAAACGAUGAAUGCUUGGUGUCUGGGGUUAUAAAGUCCCCGGGUGCCGUCGCUAACGCUUUAAGCAUUCCGCCUGGGGAGUACGGUCGCAAGACUGAAACUCAAGGGAAUUGACGGGGACCGCACAAGCGGUGGA